GUCCUUGUCGAUUAGUGGUUAGAUCAUCACGUUGUGGUAUACUACAAAUCCGUGAAGACGGAGGCUCGAAUCCUCCCUGGGACA